rnacentral:rRNA from 1 species
AGUGAACGCUGGCGGCAGGCCUAACACAUGCAAGUCGAGCGGCAGCGCGUCCGACCACCCUCGGGUGGUCGGAUGGCGGCGAGCGGCGGACGGGUGAGGAAUGCAUCGGAAUCUGCCUCGUUGUGGGGGAUAACGUAGGGAAACUUACGCUAAUACCGCAUACGACCUACGGGUGAAAGUGGGGGACCUUCGGGCCUCACGCGAUGAGAUGAGCCGAUGCCGGAUUAGCUAGUUGGCGGGGUAAAGGCCCACCAAGGCGACGAUCCGUAGCUGGUCUGAGAGGAUGAUCAGCCACACUGGGACUGAGACACGGCCCAGACUCCUACGGGAGGCAGCAGUGGGGAAUAUUGGACAAUGGGGGAAACCCUGAUCCAGCAAUGCCGCGUGAGUGAUGAAGGCC